CCCUUUCCUCCUCUGGCUGCUUCUGGCUGCCAGGCGUUGAUGAGAGAGACUGCACACUGCUGACUGAUCAAGACAAAGAUGUCCAUCUGCUCUGUCAUGUGUGGCCGAAGCAGAACCUUAGCAAGCCCUGGUCUUGUGGGAGCGUGCUCCUUGCCACCAGGAAACAACUGGCUGCCCUCGUACUCUGCUGAGCUGGGAUGGCAGACUUCUGUUUUUCAGUUCGAUCAGGCUCACCCUCCAUCUUCUCUUGCUGAAGCAGAGCUCUCCUGGGACGGAUGGUCACAGCCACUUGGCUGCUGAGGGCACUUCUGCUUGUUUUCAUGCAGUACCAGUGCAGUAGAUGCGACUUGUUACUCAGUUUACCUGUUUGGCUACAUCCGUGGCUCCCCCACCCCAGGUGUGCCCCGGCACUCAGUGCUUUUCAAAACCCAGGGGCAGCAGAAAAUCCUUCUCACUCGAGUGUCUUUUUGAUGUGGUCUGGCCUUUUCUUUUUUGCUUAAGGCUUUCCUACUAGAUGCAUCCCCCCGCCCCAUCCAAACUUUUUUCUUUCAGCUUUCGGUAGGCAAUGUCUACAGACCUGAUUUUUAAACAGAGACCGAGAAGGAAAGCUCUGAAAAGAACAGACCUGUCCCUCCCCAUUCACCUUUUGCUGUGGCAGCUAUUUUUCGUUGUUUUUACCUUUGUGAGACAGUGCAGCUCUUUUAACCUGCCAGUUGCAGUGUGAGAGCUAUAAGAUUCCCUGCCUCUGCAGUGGAUUGCUUUUUCUUAAUGGCUGCUUUGAUUAAAAAGAUAAAUAAUAAUGGGAGAGAAGGGGAGAGAAAAAUCUUUCUGCCUCUAGCCCCUUUCCCCCUUGUUGCAGGCAAAUCGCCUGCUUUGUCGCUUGUUAAUGAGGAAUUUGUAUUUAUUGGUGAAGGAAAAAACAUGCUGGGGAAGUAGGGAGAAGAUGUUGCUUUAUUGACCUCUGCUGUUUACUUCGACCCCCUCUUUGGGAAAGCUUCUUCCUGCUCUUUCUGGUUAACUCUUUCUAGCCUGGGAUAUACAGGGAUGCCUCCUUUAUUUUUGUAUUCUAGCAAUGGACUCUCUGUAAGGAGACUCUAGGAUUCUCUUAGUGUUGCAAUGACCAUUAUUUGUAGCCUUUUCGAGUACUAAAGAUGAUCAUCUCGUAAACUUUGCCCCUGCAGUUGUAGAGGUAACACACAAGCCUUACUGCCCUCGUUAGAAGGAGCAGAAAACUUGUUUCUCUGGUCCCUGGAAGAGAAAGGGUUAAGCAAUUAAACAGUUCUUUGUUCU
ensembl:lncRNA